GGUAAAUCCGCGAAUGGCUCAUUACAACAGCCAUAGUUUAUUGGAUCUAAUAUCCUACUUGGAUAACUGUGGUAAUUCUAGAGCUAAUACACGCACUCAAGCCCCGACUUCGGAAAGGGCGCAUUUAUUAGAACAAGACCAAUUGGCUUCGGCCAUCUAUUGGUGAAUCUGAAUAACUACGCAGAUCGCACAGGCUUGUCCUGGCGACAUAUCCUUCAAGUGUCUGCCUUAUCAACUGUCGAUGGUAGUUUAUUGGACUACCAUGGUUGUAACGGGUAACGGAGAAUUAGGGUUCGACUCCGGAGAGGGAGCCUGAGAUACGGCUACCACAUCCAAGGAAGGCAGCAGGCGCGCAAAUUACCCAAUCCCGGCACGGGGAGGUAGUGACGAAAAAUAACGAGACAGUCUUCUAUGAGGUCUGUCAUCGGAAUGGGUACAAUCUAAACCCUUUAACGAGGAUCUAUUGGAGGGCAAGUCUGGU
rnacentral:rRNA from 1 species